UACGGAGGGUGCGAGCGUUUGUCCGGAAUCACUGGGCGUAAAGGCGCGUAGGUGGCGCCGCAAGUCAACGGUGAAAGCUCGACGCUUAACGUCGAGUCGGCCGUCGAGACUGCGGGGCUCGAGCACUGUAGAGGCUCAUGGAAUUCCGGGUGUAGCGGUGGAAUGCGUAGAGAUCCGGAAGAACACCGGUGGCGAGGCGGUGAGCUGGGCGAGUUGCUGGA
rnacentral:rRNA from 1 species